rnacentral:rRNA from 1 species
UACGGGGGGGGCAAGCGUUGUUCGGAAUUACUGGGCGUAAAGGGCUCGUAGGCGGCCAACUAAGUCAGACGUGAAAUCCCUCGGCUUAACCGGGGAACUGCGUCUGAUACUGGAUGGCUAGAGGUUGGGAGAGGGGAUGCGGAAUUCCAGGUGUAGCGGUGAAAUGCGCAGAUAUCAGGAGGAACACCGAUGGCGAAGGCAGCUCUCUGGGCCUGUUCUGACGCUGAGGAGCGAAAGCUGGGGGGAGCGAACAGG